rnacentral:rRNA from 1 species
AGAGUUUGAUCCUGGCUCAGGAUGAACGCUGGCGGCGUGCCUAACACAUGCAAGUCGAGCGAAGCGCUGUUUUCAGAAUCUUCGGAGGAAGAGGACAGUGACUGAGCGGCGGACGGGUGAGUAACGCGUGGGCAACCUGCCUCAUACAGGGGGGUAACAGUUAGAAAUGACUGCUAAUACCGCAUAAGCGCACAGGACCGCAUGGUGUAGUGUGAAAAACUCCGGUGGUAUGAGAUGGACCCGCGUCUGAUUAGGUAGUUGGUGGGGUAAAGGCCUACCAAGCCGACGAUCAGUAGCCGACCUGAGAGGGUGACCGGCCACAUUGGGACUGAGACACGGCCCAAACUCCUACGGGAGGCAGCAGUGGGGAAUAUUGCACAAUGGGGGAAACCCUGAUGCAGCGACGCCGCGUGAAGGAAGAAGUAUUUCGGUAUGUAAACUUCUAUCAGCAGGGAAGAAGAUGACGGUACCUGAGUAAGAAGCACCGGCUAAAUACGUGCCAGCAGCCGCGGU